CCAAUAGCGUAUAUUAAAGUUGUUGCAGUUAAAAAGCUCGUAGUUGAAUUUUGGAUUCUGCCAGUUGGUCCAUCUUUUGAUGAGUACUGAUUGUGCGGGGUCUAUCCGCCUGGGGAUACGUAAUGUACUUUAUUGUAUGUUGCGGGUAGCCAGGACCUUUACCUUGAAAAAAUUAGAGUGUUUAAAGCAGGCUUAUGCCGGAAUACAUUAGCAUGGAAUAAUAGAAUAGGACGAUGUUGUUUUAUUUUGUUGGUUUCUAGGACAACCGUAAUGAUUAAUAGGGAUAGUUGGGGGCAUUAGUAUUCAAUUGUCAGAGGUGAAAUUCUUGGAUUUAUUGAAGACUAACUACUGCGAAAGCAUUUGCCAAGGAUGUUUUCAUUAAUCAAGAACGAAAGUUAGGGGAUCGAAGACGAUCAGAUACCGUCGUAGUCUUAACCAUAAACUAUGCCGACUAGGGAUCGGGCGAUGUUGUUUCCAUGACUCGCUCGGCACCUUAUG
rnacentral:rRNA from 1 species